rnacentral:rRNA from 1 species
GUGGGGAAUCUUGCGCAAUGGGCGAAAGCCUGACGCAGCCAUGCCGCGUGAAUGAUGAAGGUCUUAGGAUUGUAAAAUUCUUUCACCGGGGACGAUAAUGACGGUACCCGGAGAAGAAGCCCCGGCUAACUUCGUGCCAGCAGCCGCGGUAAUACGAAGGGGGCUAGCGUUGCUCGGAAUUACUGGGCGUAAAGGGCGCGUAGGCGGACAGUUUAGUCAGAGGUGAAAGCCCAGGGACCAACCUUGGAAUUGCCUUUGAUACGGGCUGUCUUGAGUACGGGAGAGGUGAGUGAAUCUCCGAGUGUAGAGGUGAAAUUCGUAGAUAUUCGGAAGAACACCAGUGGCGAAGGCGACUCACUGGCCCGUUACUGACGCUGAGGCGCGAAAGCGUGGGGAGCAAACAGGAUUAGAAACCCGAGUAGUCC